GCGCGACUUAGAUCGCAGCGGAAAGCUCAGUAACACGUGGCCAAUCUACCCUGCAGAGGAGCAUAAUCUCGGGAAACUGAGGCUAAUACUCCAUACCGCUCUCACGCUGGAACGCGGAGAGCUCGAAACGCUUCGGCGCUGCAGGAUGUGGCUGCGGCCGAUUAGGUAGACGGUGGGGUAACGGCCCACCGUGCCGAUAAUCGGUACGGGUUGUGAGAGCAAGAGCCCGGAGACGGAAUCUGAGACAAGAUUCCGGGCCCUACGGGGCGCAGCAGGCGCGAAACCUUUACACUGCACGCCAGUGCGAUAAGGGGACCCCAAGUGCGAGGGCAUAUAGUCCUCGCUUUUGUGUACCGUAAGGUGGUACACGAAUAAGAGCUGGGCAAGACCGGUGCCAGCCGCCGCGGUAAUACCGGCAGCUCAAGUGAUGACCGAUAUUAUUGGGCCUAAAGCGUCCGUAGCUGGCCGCGUAGGUUCGUCGGGAAAUCCAUCCGCCCAACGGAUGGGCGUCCGGCGAAAACCACGU
rnacentral:rRNA from 1 species